rnacentral:misc_RNA from 1 species
GGAAAUGUGUGCCCAAAGAGCUGUUGCUUAUUUCACAGAGCAGAUUGAACCUCAACUUUUGAAUGGGAAAAAUGUGAUGAUUGCUGCACAUGGGAAUUCAUUGAGGUCCAUUAUCAUGUAUCUUGACAAGCUGACUUCGCAGGAGGUAAUCAGCCUUGAGUUGUCGACUGGAAUUCCUAUGCUCUAUAUAUUCAAAGAAGGAAAGUUCAUCAGGAGAGGAAGUCCUGUGGCACCUUCUGAGGCUGGUGUUUAUGCUUAUACUAGGGGCUUAGCUCUUUACAGACAGAAGUUAGAUGAGGCCGCAAACUGAUUAUACAUUUAAAUAGAUAUAUGCAA